CGUAGGGGGCGAGCGUUAUCCGGAUUUAUUGGGCGUAAAGCGUGUGUAGGCGGUUUAUUAGGUCAGGCGUAAAAGAUCACAGCUCAACUGUGUAGGGCGUUUGAAACCGGUAGACUUGAAUACGGUAGAGGCAGGUGGAAUUCCAUGUGUAGCGGUGGAAUGCGUAGAUAUAUGGAGGAACACCAAUGGCGAAGGCAACCUGCUGGGCCGGAAUUGACGCUGAGACACGAAAGCGUGGGGAGCAAACAGGAUUAGAUACCCUGGUAGUCCACGCCGUAAACGAUGAGCACUAGGCCGGAGCCCUGCACAGGGUUUCGGCCGUAGCUAAAGUGUUAAGUGCUCCGCCUGGGGAGUAUGGUCGCAAGACUG
rnacentral:rRNA from 1 species